rfam:Picea glauca, whole genome shotgun sequence.
AAUCAAGGAAACAUUUGAGGGAAUUCCAUAACUUUUUCCCCUUCAAGAAAUAUCACAGACAACAUGCACUCCUUUUCCUCCUCUGCAUCAAUCAUGUGAAAAUACCUACAAACUAAUGAAUGGAUUUCCAAUGAUUUGUCAACAAUCCAUUUCUAGAAAAGGGCACAUUCAUCAUUAGACACAUAGAAGUUGGAUAAACCCAACAACCUUCCAUCCAGAGUCAACAAAAUUGAAACCCAUUUUUGAGAGUUGUUGGUGUCUCAUCCUAUAACCGAUGACAACGUUAGGAAAUCUGGAGAUGUCGUCGGGGGCCCAGGGAUGAGUUAUAUUUUCUUCUUAAUAAAUUUCCCACCCUAAAAUCGGCUCAACCGGAUAUAGGGUUCAACAGCUGGAAGAUCAUUGCACGUCUUGCGAUUUUCGGUGUGCCCUCGAUGGCCCUUGAAAAUUUGGAGGACCGAGUACCAUCCAUGCCCAGUCGUACUCAUAACCGCAUCAGGUCUCCAAGGUGAACAACCUCUAGUCAAUAGAACAAUGUAGGUAAGGAAAUUCGAAAAAAUGAAUCCGUAACUUCGGGAAAAGGAUUGGCUCUGAGGGUUGGGACUAGGGGUCUGCGUCCUCAACCUGUGGGUUGUCGGCAGUCUGCCAGAGCUACUAUCACGGCGAGGGCAGGUAGUCACAUUCCAAUUGGGCUACAAACAUAGGAUGUCCCCUCUUAGGGAAUUUUCCCUAGGCAGCGAACAAUCGACUCAGAACUGGUACGGAUAAGGGGAAUCCAACUGUUUAAUUAAAACAAAGCAUUGUGAUGGUCCCUGCGGAUGCUGACACAAUGUGAUUUAUGCCCAGUUCUCUGAAUGCCAAAGUGAAUAAAUUCAACCAAGCACAGGUAAAUGGAUAGAGACUUCAAUCCUUAGAAUCCUUGAGUUUGUAGCGAGGAUCAAUCUCAUGAAGUAUAGAUACUUGGAGAAGUUCAGAGAAAAGACGAGGUUUUGAAGUCACCUCGUGGAAUCAAGUUCAGAAGGGUGGACGCCAAGUUAUUUGACAAGGAAUCAUUGAGAGUCUAAAUGGAUGGUGGAAAUUCCCACAGGAAGAAACACCGAUUUCUGUGGACCGUUGGAUCUAGUAGAUCUGCGGGGAGGAUAAGGGCGAGAGUCUUUCAACACUUGUAAGAUCAGGAAGAAUAGUAGCCGUCAUAUCUGAAGGAGCGAGAGCCAUUGAUUUGGUGCUAUGAAAUAUUAUCAUUUCGAGAGUCGGGAGUGUGGAGGAAGCUGCAACUCAGAAUUCGCGAGUCGCUAAAUCCUGAUUCGCAAAGGAAGAACCUGGAGCGUUGGAUCAUGGGAGAUGAGGGCCGUCGAUCUCACAUAGCGGUCAUCGCGAUUUUGUAUUUCAAGAAAACGGUAAAGAACCACUUCACAAACCCCCCAUACACGAAAUCUCGAUGUGCUCAGAGGUUGGGCCCUAGGUCGCAGCUGGAGGUCAGCCAGAGCAAACUUACAAAAUUGGGGAAGACUUGAAAAUUUGGAAGUGAGCUUGUUCUUCUUUGAAAUUGAUGAUUUUAUACUCUCUCAU